rnacentral:miRNA from 1 species
AGGUUGUUUGGUUUUGUUUU